AUUGAACGCUGGCGGCAGGCCUAACACAUGCAAGUCGAGCGGAUGAAGGGAGCUUGCUCCUGGAUUCAGCGGCGGACGGGUGAGUAAUGCCUAGGAAUCUGCCUGGUAGUGGGGGAUAACGUCCGGAAACGGGCGCUAAUACCGCAUACGUCCUGAGGGAGAAAGUGGGGGAUCUUCGGACCUCACGCUAUCAGAUGAGCCUAGGUCGGAUUAGCUAGUUGGUGGGGUAAAGGCCUACCAAGGCGACGAUCCGUAACUGGUCUGAGAGGCUGAUCAGUCACACUGGAACUGAGACACGGUCCAGACUCCUACGGGAGGCAGCAGUGGGGAAUAUUGGACAAUGGGCGAAAGCCUGAUCCAGCCAUGCCGCGUGUGUGAAGAAGGUCUUCGGAUUGUAAAGCACUUUAAGUUGGGGGGAAGGGCAGUAAGUUAAUACCGUGCUGUUUUGACGGUACCAACAGAAUAAGCACCGGCUAACUUCGUG
rnacentral:rRNA from 1 species